rnacentral:ncRNA from 1 species
CGUGUGCUCUCCUUGGCCGACAGGUCCGGGAAACCCCUUGAACCCCCGGUCGUGCUAGGGAUAGGGAAUUGCAAUUAUUUCCCUUGAACGAGGAAUUCCCAGUAAGCGCGAGUCAUUAGCUCGCGUUGAUUACGUCCCUGCCCUUUGUACACACCGCCCGUCGCUACUACCGAUUGAAUGGUUUAGUGAGGUCCUCCGAUUGGACCCGGUCCGGGCGGCGACGUCCGAGCCGGCGUCCGAGAAGACGAUCUAACUUGAUCAUUUAGAGGAAGCAAAAGUCGUAACAAGGUUUCCGUAGGUGAACCUGCGGAAGGAUCAUUA